UGCGGCUGAGAGUGAGUGAGGCGCCUC
rnacentral:piRNA from 1 species